CGAUACAAGAAUGGUUUGCCAUGAUCAUAAUCGAUUGGGCCUUCAUCUGAUGCAAAAAAAUUGAGGUUUUGAUUCUUUUCCUUUUGCCGAGAGGCACUGCAAGUUACAGAUUUUUCACCGAAAGAUGAAACCUUCUUCUUCAAUACAUUUAAAAACUUGUCGACGUCAGUUGAUGGAACCUUUUGAUCAUAUGUGCUGACCAUACGAGGUACCACUGGCCUCUGUGGAGGUGAAGAUGCACAUAGCCAAUCUCUUAUCUGGUGUUAAGUUGGAGCUUUUUGAUCAUAUGUACUUUCAACCCGCGUAAGCACUUGCACAUAGCCAAUCUCUCAUCUGGUGUUAAGUUGUAGCUAGCCAGGGGAAGGUAAUGCUUACCAUUAGAAAGUUCUUGCGGGUGGAGCUCUGGCAUGUGUCGGGGAUAGAUCCUCAGUACCCGUAAGGAAGAAGAUGGACUCCUACUAGGAUUCCUCUGUAAUCUUACUAGGACUUGUACCAUGUAAUCCUAAUAGGACUCCUCCUUUUAACCGACUAGUAAUCCUUCCCCCUGGAGUAUAUAAAGGAGGGCAGGGGUACCUAGAUCGGCAGCUCAAAACAAUUAUCAAUAGCCAAUAAUCAGGCUACACAACACCCAAGCGCAUGGCGCAAUAUACAACACCCAAAACAGGACGUAGGGUAUUAUGCUAUUCUGGUGGCCUGAACCUGUAUAAAUUUGUGUCUUAUGUCCUUGCUUUUACCUUCAAUUUCCAGGUCCAACGAUUUCCCACCAACUAAUCUACUACCUCGGGAUACCCCUCGGUAGGUUGUCGGGUAUAAAACACUGACAUCUGGCGCGCCAGGUAGGCGGUGAUCGUCGAGAUCAUCGGGCGAGUUUAGAGGACCUCAUCAUCAAAAUCAAUCUACUUGGAGCAAGAAAGGUGACUCAACACGUUCCUCCAUCGAGUCCAAGGUGGAUCCAAG
rnacentral:lncRNA from 1 species